rnacentral:rRNA from 1 species
GACGGAGGGUGCUAGCGUUAUCCGGAUUUACUGGGCGUAAAGCGCCCGUAGGCGGCCUGACAAGUUGGACGUGAAAGCUCCUGGCUUAACUGGGAGAGGCCGUUCAAAACUGUCAAGCUAGAGUCUGGAAGAGGAGAGCGGAAUUCCCGGUGUAGUGGUGGAAUGCGUAGAGAUCGGGAGAAACACCAGUGGCGAAAGCGGCUCUCUGGUCCAAAACUGACGCUGAGGGGCGAAAGCGUGGGGAGCGAACGGG